UACGUAGGCAGCGAGCGUUGUUCGGAGUUACUGGGCGUAAAGGGGGUGUAGGCGGUUGUUUAAGUUUGGUGUGAAAUCUCCCGGCUCAACUGGGAGGGUGCGCCGAAUACUGAAUGACUCGAGUGUGGGAGAGGUGAGUGGAAUUCCUGGUGUAGCGGUGAAAUGCGUAGAUAUCAGGAGGAACACCGGUGGUGUAGACGGCUCACUGGACCAUAACUGACGCUGAGACACGAAAGCGUGGGGAGCGAACAGG
rnacentral:rRNA from 1 species